AAUGACAACAUUAGAUAGUUUUCCAUCAGCUGCUGUACAGUGAAUACUAAUGAUAAAGCUGCCAGGAGAGCUGUAUAGUGUUUAGUGUGAUAUUAGACCUCACUAGUAAUGGUGUGUGGUUGACAGGGGAUUUUGUUUCUGAACUUCCAAGAUGUUUUCUGCUCAGGGCUGGGCUUACCCUCAAACAAACUCAAGGUUGCACAGCGAGUACAGGAGUACAUACAGAUGGCAUGAAUAUACUCCUAAACAUAACCAGCUGGUUGUUAGGAAACCUCCACUUCCGAAUUCAGGAUCAGGAAUCGAUGGAUCUGAUUUCCCGCGUAAAAAGAAGUACCCUGAUGUAGCGUAUAG